UACGUAGGGUCCAAGCGUUAUCCGGAAUCACUGGGCGUAAAGCGUGCGUAGGCGGGAGUUUAAGUGCAAUGCGAAAUCUUGUGGCUCAACCAUAUAGACUGUAUUGCAUACUGGACACCUAGAGGACGGCAGAGGCAAGUGGAAUUACUGGUGUAGCAGUGAAAUGCGUAGAUAUCGGGAAGAACACCCGUGGCGAAGGCGGCACUCUGGGACGGUACUGACGCUGAGACGCGAAAGCGUGGGGAGCGAACAGG
rnacentral:rRNA from 1 species